AAGUGACGGUACCUGCAGAAGAAGCGCCGGCUAACUACGUGCCAGCAGCCGCGGUAAUACGUAGGGCGCAAGCGUUAUCCGGAAUUAUUGGGCGUAAAGAGCUCGUAGGCGGUUUGUCGCGUCUGCCGUGAAAGUCCGGGGCUCAACUCCGGAUCUGCGGUGGGUACGGGCAGACUAGAGUGAUGUAGGGGAGACUGGAAUUCCUGGUGUAGCGGUGAAAUGCGCAGAUAUCAGGAGGAACACCGAUGGCGAAGGCAGGUCUCUGGGCAUUAACUGACGCUGAGGAGCGAAAGCAUGGGGAGCGAACAGGAUUAGAUACCCUGGUAGUCCAUGCCGUAAACGUUGGGCACUAGGUGUGGGGGACAUUCCACGUUUUCCGCGCCGUAGCUAACGCAUUAAGUGCCCCGCCUGGGGAGUACGGCCGCAAGGCUAAAACUCAAAGGAAUUGACGGGGGCCCGCACAAGCGGCGGAGCAUGCGGAUUAAUUCGAUGCAACGCGAAGAACCUUACCAAGGCUUGACAUGAACCGGACCGGGCUGGAAACAGUCUUUCCCCUUGUGGGCUGGUUUACAGGUGGUGCAUGGUUGUCGUCAGCUCGUGUCGUGAGAUGUUGGGUUAAGUCCCGCAACGAGCGCAACCCUCGUUCUAUGUUGCCAGCACGUGAUGGUGGGGACUCAUAGGAGACUGCCGGGGUCAACUCGGAGGAAGGUGGGGACGACGUCAAAUCAUCAUGCCCCUUAUGUCUUGGGCUUCACGCAUGCUACAAUGGCCGGUACAAAGGGUUGCGAUACUGUGAGGUGGAGCUAAUCCCAAAAAGCCGGUCUCAGUUCGGAUUGGGGUCUGCAACUCGACCCCAUGAAGUCGGAGUCGCUAGUAAUCGCAGAUCAGCAACGCUGCGGUGAAUACGUUCCCGGGCCUUGUACACACCGCCCGUCAAGUCACGAAAGUUGGUAACACCCGAAGCCGGUGGCCUAACCCCUUGUGGGAGGGAGCCGUCGAAGGUGGGACUGGCGAUUGGGACUAAGUCGUAACAAGGUAGCCGUACCGGAAGGUGCGGCUGGAUCACCUCCUUUCUAAGGAGCACCUACAAC
rnacentral:rRNA from 2 species